rnacentral:rRNA from 1 species
CCAGCACCCCGAGUUGUCGGGACGAUUAUUGGGCCUAAAGCAUCCGUAGCCUGUUCUGCAAGUCCUCCGUUAAAUCCACCUGCUUAACGGAUGGGCUGCGGGGGAUACUGCAGAGCUAGGAGGCGGGAGAGGCAAACGGUACUCAGUGGGUAGGGGUAAAAUCCUUUGAUCUACUGAAGACCACCAGUGGCGAAGGCGGUUUGCCAGAACGCGCUCGACGGUGAGGGAUGAAAGCUGGGGGAGCAAACCGGAUUAGAUACCCGGGUAGUCCCAGCUGUAAACGAUGCAGACUCGGUGAUGGGUUGGCCUCGAGCCAACCCAGUGCCGCAGGGAAGCCGUUAAGUCUGCCGCCUGGGGAUACGGUCGCAAGACUG